rnacentral:rRNA from 1 species
GACGAACGCUGGCGGCGUGCUUAACACAUGCAAGUCGAACGGUGAAGGGACCGGUUUUUGCUGGUUCUGGAUGAGUGGCGAACGGGUGAGUAACACGUGAGUAACCUGCCCCCUUCUUCUGGAUAACCGCAUGAAAGUGUGGCUAAUACGGGAUAUUCUGCGCCUGCUGCAUGGUGGGUGUGGGAAAGAUAUUGUUUCGGUGGGGGAUGGGCUCGCGGCCUAUCAGCUUGUUGGUGGGGUGAUGGCCUACCAAGGCGGUGACGGGUAGCCGGCUUGAGAGGGUGGACGGUCACACUGGGACUGAGACACGGCCCAGACUCCUACGGGAGGCAGCAGUGGGGAAUAGUGCACAAUGGGCGCAAGCCUGAUGCAGCGACGCCGCGUGAGGGAUGGAGGCCUUCGGGUUGUAAACCUCUUUCGCCAGUGAAGCAGGCCUGUCCCUUUUGUGGGUGGGUUGACGGUAGCUGGAGAAGAAGCGCCGGCUAACUACGUG